rnacentral:rRNA from 1 species
AUGCCCAAUGAGCUCAACCACACAGUAUACUUAAGCUAUGAAUAUAUGCCUUCUUACCUGAAGCAGUGCUUUCUGUACUACUCUCUUCUUCCUAAAAGUAGAAUUUUUACUAUGGAUGAAGUUGUUGCAAUGUGGAUUAGUGAAGGAUUUAUUCAUGGAAAUUCUAACGAUUUAGAAGAAUUGGGAGAAAAUUACUACAAGGAGUUGGUAUCUAGGAACCUGAUAGAGCCAGAUAAAUCAUAUGUUGAUCUAUGGGUUUGCAGCAUGCAUGAUGUUGUCCGCUCAUUUGCUCAGUAUAUGACUAAAGAUGAAGCACUCAUAGCUAAAGAUGGAGACAAUGAUAUUCUUGCUGAACUUAGUUCACAAAACUUUCUGCGGUUGUCCAUAGAAACUAACCAAUCACAAUCAGGUGAACUUAAUUGGAAAUGUCUACAGGCGCAAAAAUCAGUGAGAACAUUGAUCUCAACUAUCCAGAUUAAGAUGAAGCCUGGUGAUUCGUUGGCUACUUUUUCUAGUUUGCGGACUCUGCAUAUGAAAUCUGCAGAUAUGUCCAUAUUGCUUGAAUCGUUGCAUCAACUCAAGCACCUGAGGUAUCUAACACUAGUAAAUGUUGAUGUAUAUGUUCUUCCAGGGAACAUUGGCAAGAUGAAACUGUUGCAAUUCCUUGACCUUGGUGGAUGUACAAAAUUGGUGAAUCUUCCUGAUAGCAUUGUGAAGCAUGACCAGCUGAGAUUACUUUCACUUCCCAUAGAAUGUAUGGUACCUAGAGGGUUUAGUGGUCUGACAAAUAUGAGGAGACUGUUGCAGUUUCGAGCCCACUUGGAUGGUGAUUGGUGCAGUUUGGACGAGUUGGGGCCUCUUUCCCAACUCAGAGUUCUUGUAUUAACUGAAUUAGAGAAUGUAUCUGCUGCCUCAUUUGCUGCUAAUGCUAGGAUCAGCGAGAAGAUGCAUCUUAUUAGUCUACUCCUGUAUUGCACCAGUAAACUGGGAGAUGAUGGGUUGCUCAAAGAGAAGGAAGGUGUCUCUGAGGAAGAGCAGCAACGAAUUGAGAAGGUUCUCGAUAAGCUCUGCCCUCCACCUGGUCUAGAAUAUCUUCAUAUCAAGGGGUAUUUUGGCCGGCAACUUCCGAGCUGGAUGAUGACCACAUCAAUGGUGCCCCUCGACAACUUGAAGACUUUAUUGAUUGAUGACCUGGCUUGUUGCACACAACUUCCCAAUGGGCUGUGCCACCUCCCGAAUCUGCAGCUUCUGCAGGUCUCUCGUGCUCCAUGCAUCAAACAUGUUGGGACCGGAUUCUUGCAGUCGGCAUCAGCUUCAUUUCCGAGGUUAAAUAAAAUGAUCUUGGCCGGAAUGGUGGAAUGGGAGGAGUGGGAGUGGGAGAAGCAAGUACAAGCCAUGCGCCGUUUGGAGAAGCUUGUGCUCAAUAAUUGCAGACUGAGGCAUUUUCCUCCAGGCCUUGCCUCCAAUGCAAGCUCUUUGAAAAUAUUAAUUCUAGUACAUGUCAAGCACCUCAGCUACAUUGAGAGCUUCCCUUCUGUUGUUGAGCUUAGAGUCAAUGGAUGCCCUGACCUGGAGAGGAUCACCAGUCUCCCCAAUCUGCAGAAGCUUACCAUCAUGUACUGCCCAAAGUUGAAGGUUCUAGAGCGUAUCGCUUCACUCGAGAGGCUUAUCCUGGAGGAUUACACCAUGGAAGAACUCCCAGAAUACUUGCGAGACAUAAAAGCAAGGCAUUUGCAGUUAUUCUGCAGGCUAUGGUUGCUCUCUGCGGUAGCCGCGGGACAAUCUGGCACUGAGUGGGACAAGUUCAGCCAAGUGGAGCAUGUCAAGGCAUAUGCACGUGAUGGAGACAACCAAAGAAAAUGGUACGUUUUGUACACGAGAGGAGAUAACUGCAAGCUGGAUUCAAAUAUUAGCAGCUCUGCCAUAUUUGAAGAAACCUUAUCAUCUUGUAUGGUGGACCCACAAGGAUUUGAGUCUGUGUACAAAAUGAGAAGAAGCACCUUCAGUUACAUUUGCGGCUUGGUGAGGUUGCCAUUUUUGGAAGAUAUGAUGGCAAGGGAUCACACCUUUGUUGAUGGGAGAGUGAUAUCUUUACAAGAUCGAGCAGCCACUGCUCUGAGAGUGUUGAAUUCUGGUGAACCACCAGUGGUUGUAGGAUCCUCUCUUGGUGUCAACGAAUCCACUGUCUCGCUGGUAACUCAGAGGCUUAUUGAGGGUAUUCGGGAGCGAGGGUUGCACCAUUUGAACUGGCCAUACCAUUUCCAAGCAAUGGAGAAGAUCAAGUGCAGGUUUGACAAGAUCCACGGCUUGCCAAAUUGUUGCGGUGUUGUACAUAGAGCUUACUUUAAAUUUGGAUCACCAAACCUUGACCAUGAGGAGAACGCUGACACACUAAUGCAAGCCGUCGUUGAUUCAGAUAUGAGGUUCACAAAUAUUUGGUUUGGAGCAUCAAGUAGCAUGAACCAGUCAAGUCUUUUAAACGACUCUUGGCUCUUCAAGUCCUGCGAGAAAGGUACUUUGCUUGAUGGUAGCAAACUGAAGGUAUCAGAUGGCUCAGACGUUGGAGAAUACAUCAUUGGUGAUGCAGGAUACCCUCUUCAUUCAUGGCUCCUCACACCUUAUCGGUUGGAGGAUGACAUCUCAGACUCGAAAGUGGAGUUCAACAGGAGACACUCUGCAGCUACAGCCAUGGCGCUGAGGGCACUGGAAAGGUUGAAAGACACAUGGAAGUGUCUACAGGGCGAAGGCUGGCAUCCGAAUAAUCAACGUGAUCUAUGGUGGACAAUCAGGACGUGUUGUAGGUUGCAUAACAUAGUGAUAGCCAUGGAGGAGGAGGGUGCAGUCAUGCUGUCAAGGUGA